rnacentral:rRNA from 1 species
ACUCCUACGGGAGGCAGCAGUGGGGAAUAUUGCACAAUGGGGAAACCCUGAUGCAGCCAUGCCGCGUGUGUGAAGAAGGCCUUCGGUUGUAAAGCACUUUCAGUAGGGAGGAAGGUAGUGUAGUUAACACCUGCAUUAUUUGACGUUACCUACAGAAGAAGCACCGGCUAACUCCGUGCCAGCAGCCGCGGUAAUACGGAGGGUGCGAGCGUUAAUCGGAAUUACUGGGCGUAAAGCGCAUGCAGGCGGCUUGUUAAGUCAGAUGUGAAAGCCCGGGGGCUUAACCUCGGAAUUGCAUUUGAAACUGGCAGGCUAGAGUCUUGUAGAGGGGGUAGAAUUUCAGGUGUAGCGGUGAAAUGCGUAGAGAUCUGAAGGAAUACCAGUGGCGAAGGCGGCCCCCUGGACAAAGACUGACGCUCAGAUGCGAAAGCGU